rnacentral:rRNA from 1 species
UGCCAGCCGCCGCGGUAAUACGGAGGGGGUUAGCGUUGUUCGGAAUUACUGGGCGUAAAGCGUACGUAGGCGGAUUAUUAAGUGAGGGGUGAAAUCCCAGGGCUCAACCCUGGAACUGUCUCUCAUACUGGUAGUCUUGAGGUCGAGAGAGGUGAGUGGAAUUCCGAGUGUAGAGGUGAAAUUCGUAGAUAUUCGGAGGAACACCAGUGGCGAAGGCGGCUUACUGGACAAAUACUGACGCUGAGACGCGAAAGUGUGGGUAGCAAACAGGAUUAGAUA